rnacentral:rRNA from 1 species
CACGUAGGCGGCUCGGCAAAUCGGUCGUGGAGUCCAGACGCUUACCGUCUGAACGGCGGCCGAAAAUACCGGGCUCGAGGGCGUGAGGGGUCACUGGAACUCCUGGUGAAGCGGUGAAAUGCGUAGAUAUCAGGAGGAACGCCGGAGGCGAAAGCGAGUGACUGGCGCGUUCCUGACGCUGAGGUGCGAAAGCUAGGGGAGCAAACA